UUAACGGCCGCGGUAUCCUGACCGUGCGAAGGUAGCGUAAUCAUUUGUCUUUUAAAUAGAGACCUGUAUGAAUGGCAUAACGAGGGUUUAACUGUCUCCUUCCCCUAGUCAAUGAAAUUGAUCUGCCCGUGCAGAAGCGGACAUAAACACAUAAGACGAGAAGACCCUAUGGAGCUUUAGACAAAAGAUCAAACAUGUAAAGAAACCAAACCAACCAAAAGGAACACGAAGGCCACAAAACCCAACGU
rnacentral:rRNA from 1 species